UUUGGUAGUGCUCUCAGGUGAUAUCUGCGGUUCUCCUUGGAUUCUCUGGGCAAGCAUUGAACAGUCUGGGUCCAGACAGACCUGUGUGCAAUGGAGGUGUCGGCUGGUAGCCCAGCAGAGAUGGAGCAGGAGGAAGAGGCUGCAUGGCUGGAAGGCCAUGGAGAGAAGCAGUGCCCCAGGGUGGUGCUCACACGGCUGUGUUUGAGUGCACUGCCACCAUGGAUACACGCCCUUAUCUCCUCUCACAUUAAGGGCUGCUUUAUCCCUGAUAAAUCACAGAGCAGCCCAAGCAGGUGUGAUUCGGGGCUGGUUUUCAUUUUAGAUGUGAGUGCACUUCACACGUGUACUUUAGGAGAAGCAGGUUGUGCACUAGCUUCUAAAGCUUCCUGGAGAAGGACGAGUCUGGCACCCCUGUGACCUUUGCAUGCGGCUACCACUCCGGUCACAAACAAAACGCUAUUGGCACGUCUCAGGAUCACAGGCACAUCUCUGCGGCUGAAGCCUUCGCGGUACCACUGAGGAAUCCUGCUCUGCCUCUGGGGACAGCUGCUUGGAUUUAGCCCACACAGCACCUACAGUUUCUUUCAUAUUCGCAUUCUUGUUAAGUGUUUAAUAAGUUUGUGUAACUUUUUGUUAAGCAGCAAGCAAAUGUUUUCCAGGGGAAGCUAAUUCAAGCACAUCCUCCUUGUGUAGGUUUGAUGUUAUGGAACAGUGAGUCUGUUGAAUUAAUUAGCAUACUGCACUUCACUUACUCAGCUAAUCUGCAUAUUUUGCUCCUCAGCUGAGGGAAGCCUCCAGGUGCUGCUGGAUGCUCGCUGCAGUCACAGCUCCAGCCCUGAGGCAGGUGGGCAUGCACACACAUGGCAGGUGUGGCACCAGCUGCCCCAUGCCCACGGGCUCUGCAGGUGCUCUGGGCUGCCUGACCCCCUUUUUGAUUCAAACCAUGGUAAGUGGGACCUCUGAGAAGCAGCAAUGCGCUCUGCCAGAAUUUGUGUUUGUUUGCUCCCCAUCCUGUGCCCAAACCAGGGGCUGCCCAGCAACUGGACAAUGCCCCCUCCACCCUGCCUGCAGUGGGGAAGAAAGAGCAGAGCUGCCCCAUAGCUCCCUCCUAGGGUGUGCUCAGAGGAAAACGCGCACACACACACACACACACACUGCUGGGAUCCUGGCAUUUUUUCAUCUUGGCACAAAAUUCUCCCAGAGAUGAUUAUUUGAAAGAUGAGUCACCAAAUACAAUAGCAAAGACACAUCCUUGACUUACUGGCAGAGAAGAGAGAUGUGACCAGCAUUAAGUCUCCAUGCAAUGUCUCCAUCACACAGUGUCUGGCGUUUAUUCUAAACAGCUCUCAGUCUUCAGCAGAAUUGUUUUUUCACAUGAGAAAUCCAGCUACUUUUCCAUCUGAAAUGUUCGUUA